UCGCUAAAGCGGCUUUAAGCGACAAAACCGUCGCUGAAGGUGUUCUUGAGUGUUCUUCUUCAAACCAAGAUCUGCAUGGCAGUUAACCGAGUGGUAUGUUUGACCAGUCACCAAUUCUUGAUCUCAAUGUUUUUUGGGCAGUUAAAGUGUUAGGAUUCUAGUAUUUAUGUAAUAUUACAAUAACCAAUCAAUUGUAUGGUCAAAAC
rnacentral:lncRNA from 1 species